UACAGAGGUCCCAAGCGUUGUUCGGAUUCACUGGGCGUAAAGGGUGCGUAGGCGGUCGGGUAAGUCUGGCGUGAAAUCUCCAAGCCUAACUUGGAAACUGCGUUGGAUACUAUCCGGCUCGAGGAAUGGAGGGGAGACUGGAAUACUUGGUGUAGCAGUGAAAUGCGUAGAUAUCAAGUGGAACACCAGUGGCGAAGGCAGGUGACUAAGCCGCAACUGACGCUGAUGCACGAAAGCGUGGGGAUCAAACAGG
rnacentral:rRNA from 1 species